rnacentral:lncRNA from 1 species
CCUGAAUGCCUAUAUUUUUUUUUAUACCUAUCACUUUCCUAUUUGUACCACAAUGAACCUGUUUUGGCCCUGGUCCUCCUUGGGCAUUAUGCACUUUGACUUAGGCAAAUCGCCUAAGUUUAGGGUAGCUAUUAUAGGGGUGCGUGAUGUAAAAAUGAGUACGAAGAAAGGUAAAAUAAGAGAAAAGAGAGUAAAGCUGGGUGUGGUUGUAAAAGAGCAUGAAAAGAAAAGUUGUG